rnacentral:rRNA from 1 species
GAUGAACGCUAGCUACAGGCUUAACACAUGCAAGUCGAGGGGUAACGAAAGGAAAGCUUGCUUUCCUUGUCGACGACCGGCGCACGGGUGAGUAACGCGUAUCCAACCUGCCCCCAACUAGGGAAUAACCUUGCGAAAGUAAGACUAAUACCCUAUAAUUUCCUCAGAUGUCAUCUGACGAGGAAUAAAGAUUUAUCGGUUGUGGAUGGGGAUGCGUCUGAUUAGCUUGUUGGCGGGGUAACGGCCCACCAAGGCAACGAUCAGUAGGGGUUCUGAGAGGAAGGUCCCCCACAUUGGAACUGAGACACGGUCCAAACUCCUACGGGAGGCAGCAGUGAGGAAUAUUGGUCAAUGGGCGGAAGCCUGAACCAGCCAAGUAGCGUGCAGGAUGACGGCCCUAUGGGUUGUAAACUGCUUUUAUACAGGAAUAAAGUUAGCCACGUGUGGUUAUUUGUAGGUACUGUAUGAAUAAGGACCGGCUAAUUCCGUGCCAGCAGCCGCGGUAA